UCACGCAUGACAGUGUCUGGGGUUUACCGAGAACAAGUACGACAAACAAACAACAUCCAGUCAGCGACAGUCCUGUGGGUGAAAACAGCUCAUUGAUGAGAGGUCGGCAGUCCUGUGGGUGACAACAGCUCGUUAAUGAGAGGUCGGCAGUCCUGUGGGUGACAACAGCUCGUUGAUGAGAGGUCGGCAGUCCUGUGGGUGACAACAGCUCAUUAAUGAGAGGUCGGCAGUCCUGUGGGUGAAAACAGCUCAUUGAUGAGAGGUCGGCAGUCCUGUGGGUGAAAACAGCUCAUUGAUGAGAGGUCGGCAGUCCUGUGGGUGAAAACAGCUCAUUGAUGAGAGGUCGGCAGUCCUGUGGGUGAAAACAGCUCAUUGAUGAGAGGUCGGCAGUCCUGUGGGUGACAACAGCUCAUUGAUGAGAGGUCGGCAGUCCUGUGGGUGACAACAGCUCGGUGAUGAGAGGUCGGCAGUCCUGUGGGUGAGAACAGCUCGGUGAUGAGAGGUCGGCAGUCCUGUGGGUGACAACAGCUCAUUUAUGAGAGGUCGGCAGUCCUGUGGGUGAAAACAGCUCAUUAAUGAGGUCGGCAGUCCUGUGGGUGAAAACAGCUCAUUAAUGAGAGGUCGGCAGUCCUGUGGGUGACAACAGCUCAUUGAUGAGAGGUCGGCAGUCCUGUGGGUGAGAACAGCUCAUUGAUGAGAGGUCGGCAGUCCUGUGGGUGACAACAGCUCAUUGAUGAAAGGUCGGCAGUCCUGUGGGUGACAACAGCUCAUUGAUGAGAGGUCGGCAGUCCUGUGGGUGACAACAGCUCAUUGAUGAGAGGUCGGCAGUCCUGUGGGUGACAACAGCUCAUUGAUGAGAGGUCGGCAGUCCUGUGGGUGACAACAGCUCGGUGAUGAGAGG